rnacentral:rRNA from 1 species
CUUUACUAUAGCUUGACACUGAACAUUGAGCCUUGAUGUGUAGGAUAGGUGGGAGGCUUUGAAGUGUGGACGCCAGUCUGCAUGGAGCCGACCUUGAAAUACCACCCUUUAAUGUUUGAUGUUCUAACGUUGACCCGUGAUCCGGGUUGCGGACAGUGUCUGGUGGGUAGUUUGACUGGGGCGGUCUCCUCCUAAAGAGUAACGGAGGAGCACGAAGGUUGGCUAAUCCUGGUCGGACAUCAGGAGGUUAGUGCAAUGGCAUAAGCCAGCUUGACUG